rnacentral:rRNA from 1 species
CCUACGGGUGGCAGCAGUAGGGAAUAUUGCUCAAUGGGGGAAACCCUGAAGCAGCAACGCCGCGUGGAGGAUGACGGUUUUAGGAUUGUAAACCCCUUUUGUGAGAGAAGAUAAUGACGGUAUCUCUCGCAUAAGCACCGGCUAACUCCGUGACAGCACCCGCGGUAAUACGGCGGGUGCAAGCGUUACUCGGAAUCACUGGGCGUAAAGGGUGCGCAGGCGGGCUUGUAAGUCAGAUGUGAAAUCCUGUGGCUGAAAUACAGAACUGCAUUUGAAACUAUGAGUCCAGAGUGUGGGAGAGGUAGGUGGAAUGCUUGGUGUAGGGGUAAAAUCCGUAGAUAUCAAGAGGAAUACUCAUUGCGAAGGCGACCUACUGGAACAUUACUGACGCUCAUGCACGAAAGCGUGGGGAGCAAACAGGAUUAGAUACCCGAGUAGUC